GUGGGGAAUAUUGGGCAAUGGGGGAAACCCUGACCCAGCGACGCCGCGUGAGGGAAGACGGCCUUCGGGUUGUAAACCUCUUUUGUACGGGAAGAAGGAAGUGACGGUACUGUACGAAUAAGUCCCGGCUAACUACGUGCCAGCAGCCGCGGUAAUACGUAGGGGACGAGCGUUGUCCGGAAUUACUGGGCGUAAAGGGCGCGCAGGCUGUGCUGCAAGUCAGCUGUGAAAUGUCUGGGCUUAACCCGGGCAUGCGGUUGAGACUGCAGUGCUGGAGUGCUGUAGAGGCAAGUGGAAUUCCCAGUGUAGCGGUGAAAUGCGUAGAUAUUGGGAAGAACACCGGUGGCGAAGGCGGCCCCCUGGACAAAGACUGACGCUCAGGUGCGAAAGCGUGGGGAGCAAACAGGAUUAGAAACCCGGGUAGUCC
rnacentral:rRNA from 1 species